UUAGCAGCAAAUAUUUUGGUUCCAAAGAGAGGCCAUUUCCGGGCCACCGUCAAAUAAAUUCGAAUGCAUUCUGGUGGAGAGCAUCCCUGCAGCACCAUCCACUUCGUCGCCAGCCUGUCAGCCAGUUGCCUUUCAGAAUCCAAGACACAAGACAGCAUUAUUUACUAAUGUCUUCCAAGGAAAGACAAUGCUCCAAAUUCCUGCCAGAAGGAUCAUCUGUGAACAGAGAAAAUCCCAUGUGGGAUGGCUUCCUCAUUCCUGUCUCCUGGUUCAGUCGCUGGAUGAAUUCAUCAACUGUCGAGGAACCAUCGAAACCUACAACCUGCAAUGAAAGAAGAGCUAAUCAAGGAUAACUUUCAAGAAACAUGACAUUGAUGGGUAUCACAACUAAUGAAGCCUGGUUUCCUACAGAUUGGUGUCUCAUGAUUGACUGCCAGCUCCAGUGACUGCACUUGCAUAUUGUCUCCCUUCAUAUUGCAUUCUUGUACUGAGGCAUUUAUGACAUCUCUCCCUUUUCCCCAGCUACCUUUUCGUCCUAAGACCUGUAGAGCUGGGGUUGGAUUCCUUUCAUUUUCUCAGAAAAAAUGGCUAAAAUGGCAAGGAGGAAAAAUAGUGUCUAUUUCUCAAUAUCUGACACAUAUAAACACCAUGGUGCCACCCACCCACAUGAAGGAGGCAGGUUAUGGUGCAGUCCUCCAGUGCCCAGAAGAAAGGCAGCUGCGGUGGCUCACCUGGUAGGUUCCGUUCAUGAAGUGCACUGGGAUGCUGAAAGGGAGUGAGUGGUGGUAGGGAUUUCUCAGCAGGAUGGACACAAUCUCCAUCCGGGAGGGCUUGGCUUCCCGCUCGCCAGUCUGCACAGUGCGGUCUACUGAUCUCUGGCAGUAGAUGGCAUACUUGCCUAUUUCACUCCUAGGCAAAGAGGUGGAGAUAAGCCACAAACAUGCCUUAAAUGCCAUGUCCUCUUCUAUUUCCCAUGCCAUGCAAAGCAUUCCUCCCUCAGGCUUUUGCUCAAGAAAAGAUACAUCUCUGUGCAGAUAUCCUAGUUCUUCUCAACAGACUAACAGCUCAAGUGAAAAGCUACAACACAAACCUGAGCUCCAAGGAUCUGUAAAAUCAAGGUAGACGAUAGACUCUCCAGGAAGCACAAGAGCAUUCCCUGUUCCUAGAUGGACUGGACAUAGUAUAGGAAUAUCCUCUUCUGUACCCUGUUGCCAUCAUAGUAUCCAUUAAACCAAGACCAGUUCACCCUUAAAAUUGCUGUCAUGCCAGCGGAAUUUAGUUACUAUCGUGUCAAGUCCUGAUAAGCAUUAACAAUAAAUUGUAAUGCAUUAGUCUCACUUACAGAAUUAGGUAAAUUGUGUUUAUCAAUUUACAUGGUUAACCCUAUCUGCCAAUCAAGAGACUCGACACAGAUUCAAAGCAGGCUCAGAUUUGUUAGUUCAAUACAGUAUAGGGACAGUUAUUAAUAUGAUCAGUUUACUGUCUACUGAAGAGAGUGCUCCAUUGAACAGCACCAAAAGGACACAUCUCUCUAAAGCCAGGCAGGAACAGUCAAUUAUACCUUUUGCAAAAAUGUUAAGAAUGUAUAUACUGAAUAAAUUCUGAAAUUGAAGGAUUUAUAUGGAUUUAUAACUGUGCUAUCACUUUGCAGGGGAAACUAAUUCCAUUCAAGAUGCUUUCAGGAGCUCAGCACAUGAUUAAAUCUUCAGUUCAAUCCCUGCAAGCCACAUGGAAGUCAGGAGCUCUGGCUUUUUACUGUAGCAAUAUAUUGCUCACCUCCCCAGUAAUACGUUUGAACAAUUUUCAAAUGGACAAACAGCAAGAAGCUGUUGUGUCUGGCUCCCAAAUGUUCCUGAGCCCUGUGUCUUCUAACCUAGAACUGCGCCCCGCUUUUAUUCCUCUCUUAGAGACUGGAUAUAUACUCUAAGGAUAUAUACUUUAAGGUCACCUCUCAUGGAAAAACAAUACCUAGAAUGAAGAUCUAAUGUAAAUCUAUGUCACAGGCAUUAUGCAGUGUUAACAUUCUAGUGUCUUGUUUGCUAUGAAACAGGGAAAGCAUAUCUAUUUAGCUGGUCAAGAAACAGCCAGAUCUGCUCCAUCUAAAGACACAUAAGUAUUCCUAAAGCUAGGCAGAAGGAGCUAAGUCCCAUUUAGCAACUGCUCUAAAUCUAAUCUAAACUACAGAUGAAUAUAAGACCAGUUUGCUGUAAUUUCUGUAUUUUUUUUCUAGCCCUAAUAAUUGUUUCAUAGCUGGAUUAUAUAAAUAUAUUUCCUCUUUGCUUCUGCUUAAAGUUUAUUUGUUGAUAAAGGUACUUUUGGGCUAAGAACCUGGCAGACCAUCAUUACAGUAAUGCUUGAAACCAAUGGAUUAAAUGAGUGUCACAGAGCACAGCACAUCCUUAUGAAAUUCAAUAGUCCCUAACAGCAGAGCAGCUCCACUACUGAGUUGAAUGGGCCAGUCUGGGAGCUGGUAAUGCACAAGUUUGAAGAGGUGAUUUCUACCUCACUACUAGCCAGAAGAUCCCUAACAUGUUGCCUCAGCCAAUGGAGAGAGAACCUGAACAUCGAGGAAUGCCUGAUAAUCUGUUUUUGCUUCUGAGAAGAAAUAGCAAAUGUGAGGCAGCAUAUAAGAAAAUAAAAAAACUUGAUAGGAGCAGUACACAGAUUUCCUUUGCAAUACCAGGAGACUUUUAGCUUGAGUUCCAAGGCAGACUUAGACUGAGUAUUUGAAUAUGAAUAUUUGUUUGAAAAGAAACCCCUCUUUUACCUAUGUCUUAGCAACAGUAUGUUGUUGCAACACACAACUAGACAUCUCUAGCUGUGACCUCCUCCCCAAGGACACAGUGAGAUAUGCUGAAGAUCAGAUCACCAUGGAAACAAAAGAAAGAGCACAGCAUGAACACUGGAAAACAACUUCUUGCUGUUACAGGAGAUCUUGCGCUGUUUUCUUAUAGGGGAAAGUGUUACAGACCAAAAAGAGGUAACAGAAAACAGUACUAGCAUAUAUUUCAGGUUUGUUAGUUUUUCCUGACUUUUUAUGGUUCUCCAAGAUGUUCUCUGCCUCACAUUUUUUCUGUCAGUAUGCCUGUUAACCUGACAGCAGAAUGUAAUCACCUAAAAUUCUAAUGAUUCAUUCUAAAUAAUUACUUUGGUGUGUCUUUCUAUCAAUAAAAGAAAGUAGCUGCAUCAGCAAAAAACUCCCUAUGUAGCUCCAGUUAUAUCUGCAAAAAGUUCUCUUGCUAGUACAGGUCACUCAGUCUUGUGAGCUAGCUCAAUAUAAGUGAAUGACUGAAGAGGAACAGCUUGAUACCACUGGGAACCUUCUGUCCCCUCCCUCAACUUAUUUUUGCAGGUGUGAGUUACAAAAUUGCUUCCAUCUUUAUCCGUUGUGGAUGCAAAAGGCAAUCAGCUUAGCAGAAGAAAAUGCUGUUGCAGUCUUUACCUGGGGUCUGCAUGUCGCUGCAAGUGCUGUUUGAUGUACCAGAGGAAGUGAUGUUGAGGCAGGAAGAGAGGAGCGCACAAAGCCAGGAGUUGCCAGCACUGUGAACAUAAAACUGGACAUCAUUCUUGUUCUGUACUUCUUGCCUGUUGUCUUUCAUAGAAUACUGCAACCAGAAUGUUGGAUGGUGACCACUGCUUUUGGGAGUGACUAUUUUUAGACAUGUAAUUGAAGAUGCUUCAAAGGGAAGUGAUGGUCAGAGGACAGACUGCUCUUCACUGUCUCAAUCUGGACUCUAAGAAGAGGUGUUCUAAAUGACUGCCCACUUUUGAAAAUUUUGACUAGUGUAACCAAGAGCUGAGUGAAUGAUUAAGACUUAAAAUAAUACUUUUGUCCUAUUUGUAACUGCAAAUCAUAACAAAGAACACACUGGGGAAUUUUGUUUCAAAUUUAGACCCAUUAUUCUUUAACCAGAUUUUCUCAUUUGAGCUGGAAAUAUUACAAUCAAGUAUCUACAUUUAUGCUGCAACUUAUUCAUUUGAUUCACUCAAUAAUUAUAGUGCAAUAAUCAGAUUUCGUGAUUAAUAGUAACAUUCAUGAUUUGCAUGCUGUUGAUCAACUAAAAUGGAAAACAAAACUAAUAACAUGUGACAGUUAUAGCUAGCCAACGUGAACUAGAAAUUUUGAUUCUGAAUAUGGUCUGAAUAGACCAUGUGCAACUGCUAAAUGGUUAAAUUGAAACUAAAAUUUAUUUUGCAAG